GAAGUACUCCCUCCAUCCGGAAUUUCUUGUCACUAAAAUGAAUGUAUCUAGACAUAUUUUAGUUUUAGAUACAUCCAUCUUUAUCCAUUUCCGCGACAUGUAAUUUGGGACAGAGGGAGUACAAU
rfam:Triticum aestivum genome assembly, contig: Triticum_aestivum_CS42_TGACv1_scaffold_577578_7BL